ACAAUUCAACAGCAAAAAAGAAAAAAACAAGCAGCUACUCAAAUAAUGCUGUCAAGAUUCAAGAACCCAUGCCCUAACUUUCUGCAAACUGUUAAUUUCUAGAGAGCGAGAGCAAGAAGAAGAAGAAGAAGAAGAGGGGAGAUGGAUACGUGUUUGGGUAAUGAGAGGAGUAGAUGCCAGUGGUGAGGGUGGCAGUGUUGGGUCAGAUAAGAGGAUUAAAGCCCUCUGUAACCUCAUCAAUGCUGCUUCCUCUGCAACUACAGUUAAUUUUUAUUUAUUUUUUAUUUUUUCACAUCAAUUUAAGUCAAAAUAAAU